rnacentral:lncRNA from 1 species
GUCAACGUUAUAAACCAGUAAACUCUAGAAAACGAACAUCGUCUUCAAGUGGUCAGAUGCUGUUUUAGUUUCGAUUUGAGGGUGUUUAUCUACUUUCUGUGAGUUACACUAAGUAGAGCGGUUAUGUUUGCAAUACAGAAACGUUAGGUGGAGACACGUCCAUUUGAUGCAGGAUGUCCUUUAUAUAAAGCGAAACAACUUUCCACACACACACAAGAAACCAAAUCUGCUGCUAACAGACUCGCGACGGAUGCUAGUGCUAGCAUCAGUGUUGCGGGUGUGUUAUAAACAACAGAGAGGGUCAUUACUGUCACUGCACACGUGUAUUAAUCUUUAUUAUCGUGUAGCAUGACAUCCUCGACACAUUUGAUGAUCUUUAUUUGAUGUGUGUGGUGUUAUAAACUCGGAGGCAUCGGCUAAGUCGCGUCUUUGUGUCAUUUUUCUUAGUAAUGAACGCAGACGUAUUUACCGGUGUGUUUGGCUUAAGUUACUGCAAACAGUUUCAGUCCCGUGUUUCAGACACAAAUGAUUCCUCAUCAUGUGUUCCCGUGUGCUGCUGAGGAUAGACGUGCUGUUAUUUAAAGUGACCAGACUUAUGGUUUCACCUGCUUGACGAUGAAUCGAGUGAAAAGUCCGUCUGAAACAUUUCUACAGACCAGAAUAUGACAGAGCCUGCGUCACAAUGUGCAUAAUAUCGAUCCAAAAUUUUAUGUGAUUAGUAAUUUUCAAUAUUAUUUAUGGCAGAUAGGGUGGAUAGUAUGCACAUUGGGACGCAGGCAGAUACUUUUUCAUAUCAGUCAUGUGGGGUCUUUUGACCAGUAAACAUCCACCCACUCAGAGCACACAGAGUAGGAACUAACAUUAACCAUUACUCGCACACUAACCUGUAUUUGAUAUUGAUUUUUGCUACUAAAAUUAAAAGGACGAGUUGUAUCGUUGGAUAACACUCCUUCACUCCAUCACUCAUGUUGUGUUUCCUGAUCCUCAGAUGGCCUUACACAGCUGGAACUGGAGCAGAUAUCUUGAGCUGUCAACAUUUCUCUGAUCUUUCCAAUUGUCAUUGGAAACUUCAGAUGCAGAAAAUCCUGACUGUCGCUACAAUCAACAGAGAUCCAGCAGGAGCAGAAAUCAACACUAUCAGAGAUACAAAGUCUGGAGCAUGUGAAGGAGAGUGAAAGAGAGACAUGAGAGAGUCACAUGACCCACAUUCACCACUGAACACAACAAUGAACAAUUCUGCUGUGAUGAAGAUGAUGAUGAUGAACAUUGUGAAGAGUUACUGCUGAUGACAGGAAUAGGCAGAUGAGCUGAAAAAAACAUGAAAGAAUAUGAUGAAUAUGAAAACAACUGUCUCAAGCUGUCACACAAUUCUCUAGUUCUCAUAAUUGUGAAUUGUAGUGAAUCUGUUAAUUUUGUGAAAGUAAUUUUGUAAAGAAUGAGUGUUCAGUGUGUUAACGGUCACUGAAUGUUUCUCUCAUCUCAAAAUAUAAAAUAAAUAAAUAUUUUACAAUGUAAAUAGAUUAUGUGAACAUUUUGACAAUUGAUCUCUGCUCACCAAAGACAGAAACAUUGAAUGUUUUGGAUGUGUCUUUUGCUUGACUUAUCUCUACUUCAUAUUCUCCAGUGUGUUGAGUUGUGAUGUUUGUGAUGGUCAGAGAUCCAGUUUGAUUGUCCAGCUUCAGUCUGUCUCUGAAUCUCCCGUCAAGAACAUCAGAUGAGAUGUUUUGCUUAUUUUUGGUCAUUGUAGCAAUUUUAGACUUUCCCGCUCCAUAUUUCCACACUAUGUGAUCGCCUUUAUGUAUUUCAGUAAGAUCAGUGUUCAGAGUGACAGAAUCUCCCUCCAUCACUGAAACUGAUUCAUUAAACACACCUGAUGAACAGAUAUGGAUUAAAUCCUCUGAUGGUUUACAGAUCCUGAAAUCAGCUUCAUUUACACAAAGUUGAGUGAAGUUGAGAGCAGCAGCAGGAACCUUUUACUGUUAUCAGUACAGAGAGAGUCAGGCAGACAGAGAAAACACUGAUACAGCACUUACAGAUUUAAAAUAGCAAUUAAUAGAGUUUAUUGCAGCAUAAUUUAUGAAACAGGAGAAAAACUUCAUAUAACGAGCUACAACAACCCCAAGCCCCUUUCACAGAAGCUUAAUGCAACAGUUCUAUCACAAGAAUGAAAUAAUUGAAAAAUGUCAGUUUUAAACACACAGAAAUACACUGGAUAUUGAAAUGAAAUACCUUAUUGGGGCAACACAUCUUUAACCUUUAAUUUGUUUUUAAGUGUAGAGGGCAAUCAAUGUUUAAAGUUUUGUAAUUUAUUGAAAAUAAAUACAUGAUCAUUAUUGUAGAUUGUAAAUACAGUUUUAAUUGUGAUAUAUAUAUAUAUAUAUAUAUAUAUAUAUAUAUAUAUAUAUAUAUAUAUAUAUAUAUAUAUAUAUAUAUAUAUAUAAAUUAAUUAUAUAUUUUAGAUCACUGGGUAGUCUUCUAUGCACUAUAAAGUUCCUGCACAUUUGUACUAAUUAGUUUCCAUGACAUCUGUAGAUGUUUAUGAUAGCUGCAGAAGUAUGUUGAUAUUAGAAAUUUAUUUUUAAAAGGAAACAAAUGUAGCCUGAUAUAUAUUUAGAUAUCUGAAAGCAGCUCAAUGGAAAGUUCACACUUUCUGAACAUUUUAAUUCACUAGGAAUUUCCAUUAUAGACCUGGAAACUUUAAUGUAAAGUUCCUAACUCCAAAAUAACCAUGAAUUUAAAGUUAGAAGAUAUUGUAUAUUAUAUUCAAUGGUCAUGAUUUAAGUUUUUUUUUUUUUUUUUUUUUUUUUUGGUACCUAACAGCAGAUGAACAUUUUCAAAUUCUAAUUUACUCUGAAAUGAAAAAAAGACACACACACACACACACACACACACACACACACAUAUAUAUAUAUAUAUAUAUAUAUAUAUAUAUAUUUUAUUAUUAAUUAUUUAUUUUUUUAUUGUGACUUACCAGUCAGACUCCUGAAGCACAAACAGAACAAGACAAACCUGUGAAACAUUUUCUUCAGUGGUUCAGUGUGUGAUCUAACUGCAGAACUGUUAAAGUGUUGUGUGAAUCCUCCCCUGACUGUGUUCGGCCCUCCUAGUUCACAUCCUGCAUUUGCACAUGAUAUAAUGUAAUAGUUCACUUUAAGAAUUUAUACUGGUUUUAAUGGAUAAAAAAUAUCAUCUGUUUUUAUAAAAAGGUUAAGGCCUCAUAUUACUGCCUCAGUGACAGCAUUUAUUUUGAGAGUGUAGUUACUCGACUGUGUGAAAGGUCUAAAAGUAGAAUAAUAUUUUUGUGAAUUAUGAAACGCAGUGAUUUUACAUUUGUUUAUUUAUUCAAAAGUGAAUGGAAAAACACAGAAUACAAAUGUAAAAAUGUAUGAUCUCACAGUACUGGCUUUAGUGAGAUUUAUCUUCCGAGUCAAACUCAAACCAGCUGUGGUUACUUUUCAAAAUUUAGUCUAAUGGGUGGAAAAAAUGCAUGAAUGAGCAUGAAUGUUUUAACUGUAGGUGACUAGUUUCUUCUUGUGCUGGUCAAAAAAAAAAAGAGUAAAAUUUAUGGUCCAAUUCUUACUAAUCCUCACACCAUCGCCAGCAACGCAUGACAUGGGCCCAAGAUCAUCGAGAAUGGAAGAAAAUGGCCUGGUCUGAUGAUUCAGGAUUUCUACGCCGAUUACUGAUAGAAGCUAUGACACCUGGAUACACUGUUGUGUGGACACAGCCCUGCAGCGGUAGUGGUGUUAGGCUGUGGGAGAUGUUUUAAGGCCCCAAUAUCUUACAGCUGUAAGGUUUAUGAUAAUCGUUGUGCAUCCAUUCAUGUAAAUUAACAGUCGGAAGUGCCAGAACUUUCUUCAGUUAAACAAGGAAAAAAACGUACUGCAUUUGGAAACAAAGGUGAAGUUCUCAAGGUGAAUGCAUAACUUGACUUGACAAGGAAUCUUGGUGUGAUUCUGGAGACGGACCUUUGUUUCAGUAGUCAUGUCAAAGCAGUAACUAAAUCUGCACAGUCAAGUCACCUUUAUUUAUAUAGCGAUUUAAACAAAAUACAUUCCGUCAAAGCAACUGAACAGCAUUCAUUAGGAAAACAGUGUGUCAAUAAUGCAAAAUGACAGUUAAAAGCAGUUCAUCAUUGAAUUCAGUGAUGUCAUCUCUGUUCAGUUAAAUGAAAAAAUCCUUCAGGCUCAUUUGGGGGCCAGUUCUCCUCUGACCAGACGAAACCAGCAGUUCAAUUCCAGGUUGCAGCAAAGUCAGAUUGUUCUUCUGCACAAUCUGACUUUGCUGCAGCCUAGAAUUGAACUGCUGCUUUCAUCUGGUCAGAGGAGAACUGGCCCCCAAAUGAGCAGAGGAGAACUGGCCCCCAAAUGUUAAUUUAUAUGAAAAACCUUUCUCUCAAGGUUUUUUCCCCAUUCUGUCAUCGAUGGAGUUUUGGUUCCUUGCCGCUGUCGCCUCAGGCUUGCUUAUGCUGGGUACACACCAAAAGAUAAUUGGGCAGAUUUUGGGCUUUCCCACUUCCGACCAUCCUAGCUAUGUCCUGAUUAUCUUGAUGGUUCUACAGAUGAUCUUAUCAGAUUUUCCCUUGGUGUGAGGUGUCUUAAGAGUGUCCGAACCUGAUCGGAAGAACGUUGGAGGCACCCUGAUCGCGAAUCGUAAAUAUUAAACAUGUUUAAUAUUUACGAUCAGAAAUCCUAAUGUGUGGGGGGAAUCCCAAGGACAAAUGCACUCAUGCUCUGGAGAUUAUCAUGUGAAUCUAAACAAUAUCCAAUCAUAAAUCGAGAUGAUGGAAAACGGAAGCAAGAUUUUUUAUCCUCAUGUUUGUGGUCUAUCACAUUGUGAAAAUCUUAUAAGAUGUAAAAAAUCUUUUGGUGUAUUCCCAGCAUUAGUUGGGGUCACUUAAUUUCCAGCGAUACAGUUGACUUGAUUGAACAGAUACUAUUUAAACUGAAUUAAGCUGGUUGAUGACAUGACUGAAUUCAAUGUUGAACUGCCUUAAACUGAAAAAUGAGCGACUCCUAUGUAUCUGGUACCAUAAUAUCAACAACUGGACCUCCAGUUCCUGUACAUUGCAGGAUGGUGGUGAUGUAACGCAAUCCCCCUUUUUUCAAGUUGAACAACAAAUGCUCUAUUGGGUUCAUGUCAGGUGAGUUCGGAGGCCAAGUCAUUGACAGAAAAUUCACCAUCAUGUUACGCAAACCAGCUCAGCGUCUUACCAGAUUUCGGAAAAUAGUGUUAAUUUACCUGGUUACUUCCUUUGUGUUCGCGUGAUUCAGUUACGCAAACUACAGCUAUAGUAAACAGUCACUUUUGGACAUCAACAAACGGUGUUCCAACAUAGUUUUAGGUCAUCCUUUCGACUUCAGUGAACUCCGACCGGAUCUACUGAGAUCACCGCGGACAAGCGGAUCACUCGCUCCGAGACUGUAAACAAACACUGGGAAAGCAUGGAGGGCUGCGUGGUAACCUAAGGCUAAACUCACAUUGACCAGCUCUGCCCAGCAUCUUCC